rnacentral:lncRNA from 1 species
AUGUUCGUUGUAGUUCUCGUGAUGGUGGUGUUCAGGUUAAUAAAUGGAGAUUUAAUAUACUUACAUGGUAAUAUUGGCUUUGAUUUUGUUACUCUGCUCGUUCCAAUUUAUGUGAUGUAGUUUGAUUUGACACAAAGUUUAAGAAAGAACGACUUUGGAAACUUGUAGUACAAAAUAAGUCAUAGGAUAUUUGUGUGGCCAUAAAUCAUCUCAUUAAGUUAAAAUGAGCAUUUUAAAGUUAAAUUGUUACUAAAUAUAGAAAUAUGUCAUUUUUCUGGAACUAACUAAAGUGUUUCAUAUAAAGUGGAAUACAGGGAGUAAUAAAAAAGGGCAGUCCAGUGCAUUAAAGCUUUCUCUAUGCACUUGGUCCGGGGAAGGGCCGGACCAAACAACAUUACCUGCAUUUCUGCACAAGUCUGUUUGAUAAUAAUCAACAAUAAAAUAGUUUGAUUUGUUGGUAAUCUGCAAAAUUAGUUUGAUUGUUUGUUUAAACAGGCGCAUAAGCCCUACUUUUUCUUGUUCUGAGCUAGUCUUUUUGUAUAACAAAUCCACUGUAUCCAAAUUACCUAGGAAUCAUGGUAAAUGGAUUACUUUAUCUGUAAUUAUAAUAUCUCGAAAGAUAUGCUUGUUAACCUGUUCUAUGAUUAUGCAAUGCACAUAAGUAGCUUGUUCUGUUUGUUACUUAUUAAAUUACAUUAUUAGAGAAGGACGUGUUUUUUGCUAAAAUUUCUUCUGGCCCUGGGUGAAGAAGUUAGGUGGAUUGCAUUUGAGCAGUUAGUGGUUUGGUUGUUGAUUGAUCCCAUACUUGAAAAUUUGCAUGCAUUAUAAUAUUGGGUUUUCUAAGUAUAAUCCUGGAUUCGAACUAUUUCUCCUAAUAAAGGCACUGAUAAAUGAGUUAUUUUAAAGUUUAUAAGUAUUUGCAUGUAGAUUUCACUUUACUUGAGAUUAAAUAUAUGGAUGGGCAGGAAAGACUUAUUUAGUAGACAGCGAGUGAGAUGCAAGCACCUACUCUUAUCAAAAUAGAAAGUAGCUAGUGGAACUUGAAGAAACUAUGUAUCUGAACAGGUAGAGGUUUGUCCAGAUUCUUGUUAAGCCAAAAUCAAACAAAACUCAUUAAUGUGGAUAAUAGAUGCCAUUUGUGUAGAAGGCAGGUGCAGAAAUUGGUACUAGAGUACUAAGAAAAAGAUAAGAGUGGUAUGUCAGAGAGGGGCGGAUGUAGCUUAAUGUUACCGACUUUAUCUUACCCAAUACUUUCAACGCUAAACACAAAUUGCUACAAAUAAUAGAUAUGAACCUAUAACUUUAAAAGUAUAAUGGUUCGAUGCUAAGAUUUUAAAAGUUGAACCCGUACUUAAAUCGUGGAUCCAGCUUAUGAUGUCAGAGGGGAAGGGGUUUUCAUAAAUUUGAUGAUUGGCAGGAUUCUCAAAUACUAUUUUAGCUAGCUACCAUUGAUUGUUCGCUAGAGGUGUGCUUGAGGGUCCAGUUGCAUAGUCUCUUUGAACUUUGGUGGUCGAAAUGUGUAGUUGGUAAUGCUCAGGGAUGGGAUUCUCGAUGAAAUAUAUUUUCCUUAUUUUGCAGUUAAUGAAGGAUGCAAGUAACUUCUAUUGAUAAUGACCAAAGAUAGGUCCACAUCUUGAAAGUUUAGCUAUGCAUAUCCAUUCCAUAUCCAUCCUCAGAAAAGUUUCUGCAAGUUUAUAAAGGAGUUUGAGCUUCACCUUGCUAGAUCUCAACGUCAUUGAAAGAUCCCUCUCUAUGCUUCCGGUCCAAAUUGUUGAAAUACAGAUGGAAGUGAUUUCACUUGGCAAAAAGUUGUGAUACUGUGAAUAGACUAGUUCAACAUAAGAGUAUUUUUCCUAGGAAUCUACCUUUUGCCUGUAAACAAUAUUUACAAAAGUUUGCAUCUAAAGAUAACUCCAAGAAAAGGGAAUGGAAGGUAGUCAGUGCUGUUGCAUCAUUGUAUAUGGAACUUCAGCAUGAGAACACCUUAUAUUUCCUAUUCCCAAGUGUUCUAGUUUUCCCCAGAAAAAGGGCAAUAUCUUAAGAAUUUUGAUGUGCAUAAAGAAAUCUUGUCUCAUACAAGUAAAAACGCUCAAAGCAUGAGUUGAAGAAAAUUCAUUGAGAGUGUGCAAUGGGAUAUCAACCGUUACCUUCUCCAAAAAAAAAGAGUGCAGUGGGACAUAGUAUAUCCUCAAUUGCUCACAUACAAUUAACUAAUAAACUUGUCAUUCACAAUUUUCUUUUUAGGCUAGUUUAUGAAAUUCCUCUGAGUACCUUGUAAGGCCAGUUAAUGGAAUUCAUUUGUGGAGACUUUCGACUAUACAUCAAGUUGGCUUUAAGUUAUCAAGUUCUUAGUCUAUUACCUAAUCACAAAUUUUUAAUUUAGUUUUCAGAUGUUUGCUUGUUAUUAUCUGGAAAGAGGCUGCUUCAACCUUAAUGUUUGAAUUAUCUCAGGGGCGUAUAUGAAGAAUUAGCAUUUACUAUUUGGCUAUUUUCUAAUGUAAGUUUUGUUUGGUGGUUGAUUUUGGUAUUUAAGGACAUGCCAUAUAUUUCCCUGCAACAAUUUGCCACCAGGUAUUACUAGCGAAUUAGGAUAUGGUUUGCCAGUCUAGACUUGAGUCUAGCGAAUUAGGAUAUGGUUUGCCAGCCUAGACUUGAGGGCUUUUGAGCUGGGGUACUUAGUAGCUAGAAGUUCCACCGUCUAUUUGGCUUAUAGUGAUCUGUUCUUCCAUCUGAAAGAAAGCAACCGGUCCUGAUAUAGGGCUAGGAAUUUAAAAUUUUUGUCUCUACAGCGUGUGAUGAAUCUCUCAUUUGUUUUUGUGAGGAUUCUUGAGAAUAAUGAAAAAGAGGAGCAUCUGACAAGUGAGAAG